AGAGUUUGAUCCUGGCUCAGAUUGAACGCUGGCGGCAUGCCUUACACAUGCAAGUCGAACGGCAGCGGACCUUCGGGUGCCGGCGAGUGGCGAACGGGUGAGUAAUGUAUCGGAACGUACCUUUCAGUGGGGGAUAACGUAGCGAAAGUUACGCUAAUACCGCAUAUUCUGUGAGCAGGAAAGCAGGGGAUCGCAAGACCUUGCGCUGAUUGAGCGGCCGAUAUCAGAUUAGCUAGUUGGUGAGGUAAAGGCUCACCAAGGCGACGACCUGUAGCGGGUCUGAGAGGAUGAUCCGCCACACUGGAACUGAGACACGGUCCAGACUCCUACGGGAGGCAGCAGUGGGGAAUUUUGGACAAUGGGGGCAACCCUGAUCCAGCCAUGCCGCGUGAGUGAAGAAGGCCUUCGGGUUGUAAAGCUCUUUCGGCCGGG
rnacentral:rRNA from 1 species